AACGAACGCUGGCGGCAGGCUUAACACAUGCAAGUCGAGCGGGCCCUUCGGGGUCAGCGGCAGACGGGUGAGUAACGCGUGGGAACGUACCCUUUACUACGGAACAACUCCGGGAAACUGGAGCUAAUACCGUAUGUGCCCUUCGGGGGAAAGAUUUAUCGGUAAAGGAUCGGCCCGCGUUGGAUUAGCUAGUUGGUGGGGUAAAGGCCUACCAAGGCGACGAUCCAUAGCUGGUCUGAGAGGAUGAUCAGCCACAUUGGGACUGAGACACGGCCCAAACUCCUACGGGAGGCAGCAGUGGGGAAUAUUGGACAAUGGGCGCAAGCCUGAUCCAGCCAUGCCGCGUGAGUGAUGAAGGCCUUAGGGUUGUAAAGCUCUUUCACCGGGGAAGAUAAUGACGGUACCCGGAGAAGAAGCCCCGGCUAACUUCGUGCCAGCCGCCGCCGUAACAC
rnacentral:rRNA from 1 species